rnacentral:misc_RNA from 1 species
ACGCCAGCUGCCAUCCAAUAAAAGGCACCAGAGAAGUUAAGUCGAGGUACGUGACGUUUCUUCUCCUCCUCCGCCUCCUCCUUCUUCUUUUUUUUUUUUUUUUUUUUUUUCCCUUUUCCCCCCAGUCAAUUUCUGCAAUGGUGGAGCUGACCUUGCUGGGCCGCACCUAGCGCCUGGGUGCGCCUCAGUGAGGUCGCCUGCCUUUGAAGG